rnacentral:rRNA from 1 species
GUAGUCUCGCACAGAUGCAUUCAAUAAGCGGAGGAAAAGAAACUAACAAGGAUUCCCCUAGUAACGGCGAGUGAAGCGGGAAGAGCUCAAAUUUGAAAUCUUAAAGGGUUUCCCUUUACGAAUUGUAGUUUAAAGAAGUGUUUUCUGUUGAGGUUUUGGUAAAAGUUCUUUGGAAUAGGACAUCAUAGAGGGUGAGAAUCCCGUAUUUGACCUUUACUUUCAACUUUGUGAUACACUUUCAAAGAGUCGGAUUGUUUGGGAAUGCAGUCCAAAAUGGGUGGUAAAUUUCAUCUAAAGCUAAAUAUUGGCGAGAGACCGAUAGCGAACAAGUACCGUGAGGGAAAGAUGAAAAGAACUUUGAAAAGAGAGUUAAACAGUACGUGAAAUUGUCAAAAGGGAAGCGUUUGACACCAGUGUUGUUUUUCUGAAAAUCAAUUAAAGAACUGUUUAUGCUAAGCUGUUUAGACUUUAUCAGCUAACUGUUUAGUUUUGAGCUUUUCUUUAAUGCACUUUUCAGUUAACAAGUCAACAUCAAUUUCUUUUGCUGUAAAAAAGCUUGAGGAAGGUGGCUUGAGAUUCGUCUUAAGUGUUUAUAGCCUCUUGCCUAUGCAGUCGGAGAGAUUAGGUCUGCAGCGUAGAUCCUUCGGGGCUAAAUGCAUUUGUGCUAAGUUAUAGCAUUUUAUAGACAACUUGUUGACUAUGAUUUGUCUUGUAGCUUACUCGCUUAUGUUAUUUUACCUACGCUUAGGAUGUUGAAGACUCUACAGAGAUA